GAUGAACGCUAGCGGGAGGCCUAACACAUGCAAGCCGAGCGGUAUAGAGUAGCUUGCUACUCUAGAGAGCGGCGCACGGGUGCGGAACACGUGUGCAACCUGCCCUUAUCUGGGGGAUAGCCUUUCGAAAGGAAGAUUAAUACCCCAUAAUAUGUCGAGUGGCAUCACUUGAUAUUGAAAGCUCCGGCGGAUAGGGAUGGGCACGCGCAAGAUUAGAUAGUUGGUGGGGUAACGGCCCACCAAGUCGAUGAUCUUUAGGGGGCCUGAGAGGGGGAUCCCCCACACUGGUACUGAGACACGGACCAGACUCCUACGGGAGGCAGCAGUGAGGAAUAUUGGACAAUGGGUGAGAGCCUGAUCCAGCCAUCCCGCGUGAAGGACGACGGCCCUAUGGGUUGUAAACUUCUUUUGUACAGGGAUAAACCUAUCUACGAGUAGAUAGCUGAAGGUACUGUACGAAUAAGCACCGGCUAACUCCGUGCCAGCAGCCGCGGUAAUAC
rnacentral:rRNA from 1 species